rnacentral:rRNA from 1 species
GAUGAACGCUGGCGGCGUGCCUAAUACAUGCAAGUCGAGCGAACGGACGAGAAGCUUGCUCCUCUGAUGUUAGCGGCGGACGGGUGAGUAACACGUGGAUAACCUACCUCUAAGACUGGGAUAAUUUCGGGAAACCGGAGCUAAUACCGGAUAAUAUUUUGAACCGCAUGGUUCAAUAGUGAAAGACGGUUUUGCUGUCACUUAUAGAUGGAUCCGCGCUGCAUUAGCUAGUUGGUAAGGUAACGGCUUACCAAGGCAACGAUGCCUAGCCGACCUGAGAGGGUGAUCGGCCACACUGGAACUGAGACACGGUCCAGACUCCUACGGGAGGCAGCAGUAGGGAAUCUUCCGCAAUGGGCGAAAGCCUGACGGAGCAACGCCGCGUGAGUGAUGAAGGUCUUCGGAUCGUAAAACUCUUUUAUUAGGGAAGAACAGAUGUGCAAGUAACUGUGCACGUCUUGACGGUACCUAAUCAGAAAGCCACGGCUAACUACGUG